UUCUUUUUUGCUUUCCUUUUGUAGGUUUUGACUGACAUCUAUUCACUUCAAAGGUGAUUUUCCUGUUGGCAAGAAGCAGAAGAGACACACCAAGCAUCACCUUCUGGAACAAGCAAUUUAAGUACUAUAAUGAGAUGGGUCUUUUCAGAGUCUAUAAUUGGUGACAAGGAAAGGAGCUAUGUGUUCGAGGUCAGUUUCUCCUGUUGGAUCAAAGGAAGUACUAGAUUGGAGCAGCAGAUUUUGACAGAUUCUACAAAGGAUAGAAAGUUGUGUUGCCUGCUCCACCCAUACUUCACGGCGGUGUGCUUUGAUUCUAGCAAGGCACUGAACAUAGAGUAAGACUACUUUGGCUGAUUCAGCAUUUACAAGAGGAGAGACCAACAGGUGCCGG
rnacentral:lncRNA from 1 species